AGUCCCCCCUAUUGACUGUUAUUAUUAAUUUGAAUUAUGUGAACAUGAAGAUAUACGCUGGCAACAACGCCACCACCUCUCCGAAUGUGCCUGAAACCAAGGGACCUUACUCGCUUUUAUUGAAAAAGAAAAUGUAUCAGGAUUUUUGUAAAUAUAAAAAAUCGAUAAUUGGCUUCACUGAUUCCAUUACAAACAAAAGCUGAAUUGAUCCUAUCGAUACUAACGAACGUUCCUUGACAUCUCUAACAACAACCAACUAUUAUAUAUAUACAUAUAUAUUUUGUAAAAUGUUUAAACAAGCUUUUAAGCAUUAUAAAAAAAAAGAACAAUUGCCUGACCUACAAGAUGUAAUUGACUUCGACAUUUAUGAUGCAAACAAUUCCUCUUAUAGUUGGUGUAAUAAUUACAAGACAAACUGUACUUUGACGAACACUACUUUUGAUCAUUGACAAUAUAAACACUAAGAUAAGUAACGCCAUACAACAACGUGAUACCGUGCAGCUUGAUUUUCACAAAUAGGAGAAGGAAAUUAAAAUCGGUACCCUUGCGCUCUCACAGCUCAAAUAGUGAAAACGUUAAUAUAAUAAUUUUUAAGCUUCGGCUUUCCGGCCGUGCAAGCUAUUAUGUCUGCAUGUAGUUUUAGAACAACCAUAUCUGAGCCUUUCUGACCAUACUCAUAACCGGCAGCAUGACAGCCAAAGCGCAAAAACAUCGCUAUUUAAAAAAAAUUAAAACGUAUGUUUUAACAUAUAAAUUUUAUUUAUUAUUGUAAUUAAAUCUAUUCGGUUAUAUUAGUUGGCAAAUAAUUAUAAUAUAAUUGUUAAUUAAGUAUGAAGGAAUAAACUAAAUAUUAGAAUAUCGGUAGAACGAACUCGUAAACAACCAUUGGCUUAGACAAGAACUUCUCUCUAGCAUACACUGCGCAAAAAAAAAUUAGUAAAAUCAAAUAGGAUAUUUUCCGAAUAUAGCGGUAUAAUGUUUUUGUGCAAAUGUAUGCAGUGUACCAAUAAAUUCUUCGU